UGGGGAAUCUUGCGCAAUGGGCGAAAGCCUGACGCAGCCAUGCCGCGUGAGUGAUGAAGGCCUUAGGGUUGUAAAACUCUUUCACCGGGGACGAUAAUGACGGUACCCGGAGAAGAAGCCCCGGCUAACUUCGUGCCAGCAGCCGCGGUAAUACGAAGGGGGCUAGCGUUGCUCGGAAUUACUGGGCGUAAAGGGCGCGUAGGCGGAUCAGCAAGUUGGGGGUGAAAGCCCGGGGCUCAACCUCGGAAUUGCCUUCAAAACUGCUGAUCUAGAGUACGGGAGAGGUGUGUGGAACUCCGAGUGUAGAGGUGAAAUUCGUAGAUAUUCGGAAGAACACCAGUGGCGAAGGCGACACACUGGCCCGUUACUGACGCUGAGGCGCGAAAGCGUGGGGAGCAAACAGGAUUAGAUACCCUGGUAGUCCACGCUGUAAACGAUGAUUGCUAGUUGUCGGCAGGCAUGCCCUGUCGGUGACGCCAGCUAACGCAUUAAGCAAUCCGCCUGGGGAGUACGGUCG
rnacentral:rRNA from 1 species